rnacentral:tRNA from 1 species
GAAGGUAUAGCUCAGUGGUGGAGUGAGUGCUUAACAUGUAUAAGGUCCUAGGCUCAAUCCCCAGUCCCUCCA